rnacentral:lncRNA from 1 species
GGGAGAGAACGGAUGGAGAGAUAUGGGAAUAAAUGGAAAUGGUUACAAGGCAGAUAAAGGGAGACAAAUUAGACGACCUUAUAAGGGACUGUGGUGUUAAUCUGCAAACCUUCCUAAUGAAACAUGGGUCACUGUUUCUGGUGUAUGGAUCAACUUUAUGUGGGUGUGUCGCCAGCUGGUGGCUGAAAGGUGUGUGAAAAUGGUGUACCUCAUCUACUGUAUUAUUAAAAAUUGUGUAUUGCAUUUGUAAGUUGUAUGUUGUGUUAAUAGUUGUGUGUGUAUGAGUGGCCAAAUCUGAGUUGGAUUUUACAUCAUUUCCUUGUUCACAUUAUCUACUGAUUUUCUUUAUUAUGUAAUGCAUUAACCUG